GAUGAACGCUGGCGGCGUGCCUAACACAUGCAAGUCGAGCGAUUCACCUCGGAUAAGAGCGGUGGAAGGGUGAGUAAUGCUUGUGUAACCUGCCCUGGACACACGGAUAACAUACCGAAUGCUAUGCUAAUACGAGAUAAUAUCAGUUUAUCGCAUGAUACCAGUAUAAAAGCUCCGGCGGUACAGGAUGGAUCCUCGUCUGAUUAGCUAGUUGGUAAGGUAACGGCUUACCAAGGUGACGAUCAGUAGCCGACCUGAGAGAGUGAUCGGCCACAUUGGAACUGAGACACGGUCCAAACUCCUACGGGAGGCAGCAGUGGGGAAUAUUGCACAAUGGGCGAAAGCCUGAUGCAGCAACGCCGCGUGAGCGAUGAAGGCCUUCGGGUCGUAAAGCUCUGUCCUCAAGGAAGAUAAUGACGGUACUUGAGGAGGAAGCCCCGGCUAACUACGUGCCAGCCGCCGCAGUAAGAC
rnacentral:rRNA from 1 species